rnacentral:snRNA from 1 species
AGGAGGAUCCAAUGCCGA